UUUUUUUUUUCUUUAAGAUGUUGUAGAAUUCAAUUUCCCAUUCACACGGUUCACCUCUUCAGUUGCUCUCAGACACUCUUACCCAUACCUUAACCUUACAUCUCCCUCUUCAGUCUCCAUUUCAAAGCCACAUAUAUUAUAAAGCCAUAUAUAUUAUAAAUGGUGGAAGAAGAUCUAUCUCCAUAUGUAUCCCACAGCCUAGGCCGAAAGAAGAAGACAAUCUUCAAACAACCUCUGAUCACCGAAAAUAUAGAAGACACAUGGAUUCUCGAAAUGCUGAGCAAGUUAGGAAGUGCAAACGAACACUCACAUCAUCAGUUUGGGUGCACUUUGAUAUACUUCUGAUGGAUGAAGACAGCAAGAAAAAAUGCAAAUGUAAGAAGUGCGGGGCUGUGUAUAUUGCUGAUAGCCGGUAUGGUACUUGUAACUUGAAGCGACAUAUGGUCUCUUGUAUUAAAAGGGAUGCGCUGACAUAGGUAUUUUUAUCAAAGAGUUGGUCUUCCUUUCUCAAGUUGCUGCUGCUUUAGUUUUUUUUGGCUUCUUUUUGUAUGCAACAGAAUGAUGACAUCCGAAAGACUUUUAAGAGAAGUGAUGAGCUAGACACAUCAUGAAGACAAAGAUGAUAAUUUUUUUUCUUUUGUUUUUUUUUUAGUUCCUUUGCAUUGUACUUGGCUUUUGGGGGGUUGAUGUUUUUCUUUUUCUUUUGAAUAUUUGGGCUUUGUAAUAACUCUCUAAAUUUUUGUCUUUUAAUUUACUAUCGUAUGGACUAGUUAGUAAUUUGGCUGGA